rnacentral:rRNA from 1 species
CUACGGGGUGCACCAGUGGGGAAUAUUGGACAAUGGGGGAAACCCUGAUCCAGCAAUGCCGCGUGUGUGAAGAAGGCCUGCGGGUUGUAAAGCACUUUCGGUUGGGAGGACUGCUUCUAGCACUAAUAUUGUUUGAAGUUGACGUUACCUUCAGAAGAAGCACCGGCUAACUCCGUGCCAGCAGCCGCGGUAAUACGGAGGGGUGCAAGCGUUAAUCGGAAUUACUGGGCGUAAAGCGCGCGUAGGCGGCUAGAUCAGUCGGGUGUGAAAGCCCCGGGCUUAACCUGGGAACUGCAUCCGAUACUGGCUAGCUUGAGUACAGGAGAGGAGAGUGGAAUUCCACAUGUAGCGGUGAAAUGCGUAGAUAUGUGGAGGAACACCAAUGGCGAAGGCAGCUCUCUGGCCUGAUACUGACGCUGAGGUGCGAAAGCGUGGGGAGCAAACAGGAUUAGAUACCCUUGUAGUC